rnacentral:rRNA from 1 species
GGCGGCAUGCUUUACACAUGCAAGUCGAACGGCAGCGCGGGGCAACCUGGCGGCGAGUGGCGAACGGGUGAGUAAUAUAUCGGAACGUACCCAAGAGUGGGGGAUAACGUAGCGAAAGUUACGCUAAUACCGCAUACGAUCUAAGGAUGAAAGCGGGGGAUCGCAAGACCUCGUGCUCCUGGAGCGGCCGAUAUCUGAUUAGCUAGUUGGUGAGGUAAAGGCUCACCAAGGCGACGAUCAGUAGCUGGUCUGAGAGGACGACCAGCCACACUGGAACUGAGACACGGUCCAGACUCCUACGGGAGGCAGCAGUGGGGAAUUUUGGACAAUGGGCGCAAGCCUGAUCCAGCAAUGCCGCGUGAGUGAAGAAGGCCUUCGGGUUGUAAAGCUCUUUUGUCAGGGAAGAAACGGUAGGAGCUAAUAUCUCUUGCUAAUGACGGUACCUGAAGAAUAAGCACCGGCUAACUACGUGCCAGCAGCCGCGGUAAUACGUAGGGUGCAAGCGUUAAUCGGAAUUACUGGGCGUAAAGCGUGCGCAGGCGGUUUUGUAAGUCUGUCGUGAAAGCCCCGGGCUCAACCUGGGAAUUGCGAUGGAGACUGCAAGGCUUGAAUCUGGCAGAGGGGGGUAGAAUUCCACGUGUAGCAGUGAAAUGCGUAGAGAUGUGGAGGAACACCGAUGGCGAAGGCAGCCCCCUGGGUCAAGAUUGACGCUCAUGCACGAAAGCGUGGGGAGCAAACAGGAUUAGAUACCCUGGUAGUCCACGCCCUAAACGAUGUCUACUAGUUGUCGGGUUUUAAUUAACUUGGUAACGCAGCUAACG